rnacentral:tRNA from 1 species
AAAUAAGAAGCAAUAAUUGCGUUUAGUUUCGACCUAAAAAUUGGAUUUUUAAUCCUUAUUUA